rnacentral:misc_RNA from 1 species
AAGAGACGUUGCCCUUCGGGGUAUACCUCCCACCCUUUGUUUGUUAUACCUUUGUUGCUUUGGCGGGCCCGUCCUCGGACCACCGGCUUCUGCUGGUCAGUGCCCGCCAGAGGACCUAAAACUCUGUUUGUUAAUAUUGUCUGAGUACUAUAUAAUAGUUA